UACGUAGGGACCGAGCGUUGUCCGGAUUCAUUGGGCGUAAAGAGCUCGUAGGCGGCCACUCAAGUCGAAUGUGAAACCUCGAGGCUCAACCCCGAGCCUGCAUUCGAUACUGGGCGGCUAGAGUCUGGUAGGGGGAUCUGGAAUUCCUGGUGUAGCGGUGGAAUGCGCAGAUAUCAGGAGGAACACCGAUGGCGAAGGCAGGUCUCUGGGCCGAUACUGACGCUGAGGAGCGAAAGCGUGGGGAGCGAACAGG
rnacentral:rRNA from 1 species